rnacentral:rRNA from 1 species
GACGAACGCUGGCGGCGUGCUUAACACAUGCAAGUCGAACGGAAAGGCCCUGCUUUUGUGGGGUGCUCGAGUGGCGAACGGGUGAGUAACACGUGAGUAACCUGCCCUUGACUUUGGGAUAACUUCAGGAAACUGGGGCUAAUACCGGAUAGGAGCUCCUGCUGCAUGGUGGGGGUUGGAAAGUUUCGGCGGUUGGGGAUGGACUCGCGGCUUAUCAGCUUGUUGGUGGGGUAGUGGCUUACCAAGGCUUUGACGGGUAGCCGGCCUGAGAGGGUGACCGGGCACAUGGGGACUGAGAUACGGAGCAGACGGCUACGGGCGGCAGCAGUGGGGAAUAUUGCGCAAUGGGGGGAAGCCUGAUGCGGCAACGCCGCGUGCGGGAUGACGGCCUUCGAGUUGUGAACCACUUUGGACUGUGACGAAGCGUGAGUGACGGUAAUGGGUAAGGAAGCACCGGCUAACUACGUG